GCCCGCUUGGCUAAGUGGUAUAGCGUGUCACUAGUAGCUUUCUACCAUAGAUUGACAUGACAAGAUCAGCGGUUCGAUUCCGCUAGUGGGCA